rnacentral:rRNA from 1 species
GAUGAACGCUGGCGGCGUGCCUAAUACAUGCAAGUCGAGCGAACAGACGAGGAGCUUGCUCCUCUGACGUUAGCGGCGGACGGGUGAGUAACACGUGGAUAACCUACCUACAAGACUGGGAUAACUUCGGGAAACCGGAGCUAAUACCGGAUAAUAUAUUGAACCGUAUGGUUCUAUAGUGAAAGACGGUUUUGCCGUCACUUAUAGAUGGAUCCGGGCCGCACUAGCUAGUUGGUAAGGUAACGGCUUACCAAGGCAACGAUGCUUAGCCGACCUGAGAGGGAGAUCGACCACACUGGCAGUGAGGCACGGUCCAGACACCUACGGGGGGCAGCAGUAGGGAAUCCUCCGCAAUGGGCGAAAGCCUGACGGAGCAACGCCGCGUGAAUGAUGAAGGUCCUCGGAUCGUAAAACUCUGUUAUUAGUGAAGAACAAAUGUGUAAGUAACUAUGCACGUAUUGACGGUACCUAAUCAGAAAGCCACGGCUAACUACGUG